UGGAGCACUAGUGGAGUUGGCGGGAAAGGCACGGCUGCGGGCGCCCCCUGUCCGCACGGAGGAGCCGAAGUCCCGCAGGGUGGGGUCCCCGCCUGCGCCGAGAGGGCCACCUGGUCGAGAGAACAGGCGACACGGAAACCUGAGAAACUCCUCUGUCUGGUGCACCUAACCCUCUUCCUCAUAAAGUGCACACGAACUCUGGUUUUUCCGUUGCAAAUUUUGCUUUCUACAUAGACCAUACCAUUCGUUGCUCUCUGAGGAUGAGCUCCUGGCUUCCCAGUCCAGCAGAAGUAUCUACAUCUAUUUCUGGAAAGGACCUGAACUUGGCUUCUCGUCCUUCUGGAAAGUGAGGCGAAAAUGCCAGGCUGCGCAGCUAUCCUGAGGCCCGGCCUGGAACCUGGCUAGCCACCCAGUCCUGAUACCUCAUCUCCUUUCUGUUGGAUAAAGUCAUUGGAUAAGAUCCCCCAGGGUCUUCUUAAUACUGAACAUCUGUUCAUAAUCACAUAAGUGACCAAGUAUAGUGGAAAACCCGAAUGGUCAACUGAGCUGAGCAGUGGGAGAGAGCGCAGGGCUUACCUCAUCCUUUAAGUAUUUGAGGAACUGGUGAACAAGUUAACUACUUUGAUAGUAAACGAGGAAAUUUCUUUAUAGAGAAAAGCAAAAUGUGGCCCAGCAGUGGACUCUCCCUUGCCAGCCUUGAGGAAGGAGCUGCCAUGUUGGAGGCUACCCUAUGGAGAAGCCCAUGUAGCAAGGACAUAAGGGUGGCUGGUGGCCCAGACAGAAAGGAGCUGAGGCUCUCGGCCCAACAGCCUGAAAAGAACUGAAGUUACACCCACAAUGACAUGACUUUGGAAGCAGAUCCCUGAGUCUUCAGAUGAGACCUCAGAACUGGCCAACACCUUGAUUGAAGCCCUAAUGAGAGACCCUGAAGUAGAGGGCCCUCCUAAGCCAUGCCUGGAUCCGUGACUCAUAGGAACUGUGAGCCUACCAUGAAGUCGCCGGGGAUGGACAAACUGGAGGACGACUCCGCACCUGAUGUUUAAGAGAAAGUGCAGCCUCCAUGCUGCUGGCAGAGUCAUCACGUCGUCUUUUGGAAGGCAGUCUUAAAAAGGCCCAGAAGCUCAACAGCAGUCUCAACAGCACAUAAAACCCCACCGACGGCGGCCGCGCUUGCGCCUGCGCACUCUUGACGGCCGCCCGAGUCCUGGCAGGGGACCGCCAGGUUAAGAGAUCUCGGGUGACAGCGGAUUCGAGAGGUUACAGUGGAUUCCAGAGGUUACAGUGCGAAGAGCGCGAGUAUUGCAACCGUGCAAGUGUGGUAUUGCUGGUUACAACCGUGGAUUUCAUCGUCGAAAUUUCACUUUUGCCUUUUUUAAGACUAAAAAGUUAAGCUGUAGAUGAAUAUAUACGCUUUACUAAAAAUUCCCAUACAAAGAUUAUAGACUCAAACUUGAAAAACAUAUCAAUUUUUUUUUACUUCAGUGGGAUUAUACUAUUGACAUUCUAAAAUUUGAAUUUUAUACUUAGCAAUAUAACAUAGACUUGUUUCUAUGUCAGUAAAGUACAUAUACAGCUACUUUAAUUUUUAUAUGGUCCAUAUAAUAUGGUCGGGGCAGAUCUUAGUUUGUGGAUUGCAUGGAGCACGUCCCUGGAUGUGACCAGCGCACACUAUCUGUUUCCAUGCGGGGAGGUUGGGGUUGGUUGCUUCCACUUUGCCCUGAUCGCUUGGGUUUUGUAUUUUGACUCUGGAGAUACGUAAAUAAAAUUUUACUUGUCUAAAUACAGCUAAACUUCACAAAAGGUUUUAAGACAUACAAAUGUGUUUCAAACUGGUUUUGGAAACCUUUGAAUUUAAUGAUAUCUUGCAAGUUUCUCAUGUUUUUAAGAACAUAAAAUGCUUAUAGAUAUUUGAAAUUUUGAAAUUUGAUCUGAUUAAAAUGCGGCUGUCUUGAAUGAUUUUGUCCAAUUUAUGAUCACAUACUGGCAUCUUCCCUCAAGCCAGACUAUGUUUGCUUGCUUGUUUUUGUUUUGUUUUGUUUGUUUUUUGAGACAGCGUCUCACACUCUGUCUUCUAGGCUGGAGUGGAGUGGCGCGAUCACAGUUCACUACAGCCUCCACCUCCCUGUGCUCAAGCUUUCCUCCCACUUCGGCCUCCCAAAGUGCUGAGAUUACAGGCAUGAGCUACCACGCCCCGCCUCAGAAAAUGCUUUCUAACUUUGUAUUUAAUAUUUACUAAAUUCUGUAUUUUUCACUGAUAAAUGUGUCAAAAUAAUAGGAUGUUUGAAUAAAGGAUCCAAAAGUAAUAUACUCUAUUCAAUUCACCAUCUUUACUCAAUUUUAAGCAAAAUUUUCUCAUGCGUAUCAUUAUGGACUCGU
rnacentral:lncRNA from 10 species